UUGGUGGUAUAGCAACUUUAAAACUCACACUCAAUCAGGAGAGUGAGGAUUAGGAUGAUCUAGAAGUCAGUCUUUUUUUUUGGCACAGUAAUAAUUUUUCUUUCAGGUUUCCGCUUCAAGCAUGACCCUUUUGCCUGUGGGAUGAGCUCCAGCAUGGGGUGAGGUACAGAAGAGAGACUUGAAGAGCGUGCCUUGGGACUCAAGCGCCAAACCUGUACCCUAGCGAGUGUCCUACUCCGCAUCCGUAAUGGAAGGAAAUGCACAUCUUACUCCAGAGGCACAACAGGGGGACAUCCCAUGCGGCUACUCCUGCCCAGCGUGGUGGGGCAGCAGAAGCUCCAGAGCCCAGACUUGCAGAUUCAUCAUAUUCAGACCUUCACAAACAACUUGGAUAUCCUGACAAUUAUUAUAGAGUGGAUGCCCCUUGCUUCUCCCCAGCCUUUCCUGAAAAUGGGAAAAGUGUUCUUGGAUAAUGC
rnacentral:lncRNA from 1 species